ACAACAGCUCUGCUCCGUGAAGCAAGAAGCAUGAAUACCCUGACUUCUGUGGAGGCUGCAUCGCUGUAAAUGCUGUGUGGCCACUUCAGACGCCAGAUUUGUACUUUAAUUGUUACCCAGAAAUGAUUUGAUAAAAACAGCUGCAUUGAACGUUUUCGCAUAAUAAACACUGAACAAACAGUCUCUAUCUUGGUUUACAUCAUAUCGCUCAACAUCAGUGGACAGUCACCAUGUGGAUCUCUGUGUGUCUGAUCAGCUCUUUCCUUCAUAUCACUGCAGUAAAACCCAGGCUAAACCUCCCAGCUUCACAUGGACUAAACUCAGAGGUCAACAUUCACCUGUGAUAAUAUCACCCCGGAGUGAUCUGUACAGAGGCAGAGUGGAGAGGUUUAAUAGCACCUCUCCUGGGAACCUCUCUGUCCUCCUCUCACACGUCACCGAGGACGAUCAGGGGUGGUACAGGUGCCAAAUCAGCCGUGAAAAAUACAGCGACGUCGAACUCACUGUUGAAGGCUGCACUCUGUCAGAACCUCGAUCAAGGGUGGUCAAUGGAUCCCCAGGCCAGUCUGUUCUCCUGCCCUGCUCCUGUAGUAAAACCCAGGCUAAACCUCCCAGCUUCACAUGGACUAAACUCAGAGGUCAACAUUCACCUGAGAUAAUAUCACCCCGGAGUGAUCUGUACAGAGGCAGAGUGGAGAGGUUUAAUAGCACCUCUCCUGGGAACCUCUCUGUCCUCCUCUCACACGUCACCGAGGACGAUCAGGGGUGGUACAGGUGCCAAAUCAGCCGUGAAAAAUACAGAGACGUCGAACUCACUGUUGAAGAUAUUGUAACAACAUACUGUAAAACGAGGGCCCUACCAGGCCAACAGCACUGCAGUAUGUAGAUUACCCAACCUGACAGACUAAGUUGAGUGAAAUUGAUAACACACUUCACCAAAUGUUCUACUCAUUAGACUUAGGUACAUAAUAUAGUUUUGUAAUGUGCCUUUGCUCUGGCUAAUGUUCCUCUUGUCUGUUAGGGAAAUACCAUCCCCUCACAACCACUACCACCAAACAUCCACCAUUAACUCAACCAAAUGGACUAGACAUUACAACAUUCCUAAUACCAACAACGUCACCUAAAGGGGCAGACACAGUGGGGACUUCAGAAGAAGAUCCAUCUGCUUCCCUUCAACAAUACAAUACAAUCCAAUACACCUUGUUGGCUGUUCUACCAGUCAUACUGAUCAUCACUGGAGUGGCUUGGUACAUAUACAAGAGAAACAAAGGAAAGAAAAACGCAGGAGAGAAAAGUAGUGGGAGCAAAACAGAAGGAGAGAAAAAGGAUGAUCCCUCUGUAAUGUAUGAUACGGUUCAAGAACCCAGAAACAACAACCAAGAGGAGACAACAACACCCCUCAGUGCUCCAGAGGAUCCCUCAGUGACAUACUCCACCAUCGUCUACAUGAAAGGAAAAAGGAACGCAGCAGUGAGUCUGGAGAGCGGUGGAAAUACAGAGUAUGCCACUAUCAAGACAGGCACGUUCUCCUAGAGCCACUGUACUGUAUGGCCUACUGUCAUCUCACAGCCUUUUCCUGCAGAGUGAUCUCAUAUUGGGCCCAGUAUCAAGAGGUUUGAUCUGGCACACAUGACUACAAAUAUAUUUCACUCUCUACUAAGACAUGUUAAGUGGUUAUCACAGGAAAUCAGAUGUUAACCUACAACCAAAAUAAUAAAGUCCCAGAGAUAUAGGCAAGAUGAUUGGUGAAGCAAUAAGAUACCAUUUUUGUGUAGCUGAGACAACCAAAGCACCUUAUAUGGCUUAAAGUUCAGCUAGUUCUCUUUUUAUAUCGUUGUUGUGCAUUUAUUUUUAAAUAUGUGAACUUUUUGAAAUAGAGACGGAUGCUUUCAGACAUGUUUGAGAAAAAGGAAAAUGUGGUUUGAUGUGUCAAAGCAAAAAAACACAUUUCACAAUCAGUUUUGCAAGAGGUUGCUUGGGUGGCUAUCAUCCAUCUUAAUUUUGUAAGGGGUGCGUGACUGGCUGCAGGGAAGUCAGGCGCAGGAGAGCAGAACUGGGUAAAACCCGAAGCAGUUUAAUAUGAAGAAAAAAAACAACGGCACCCAGAACAACAAAAUCUGGGUACAAAAUAACCCGUUGUGAACCAGUCAGAGUGCACAAACACUUUACAAUAAACAAUUUCACACACAGACAUGGGGGGAACAGAGGGUUGUAUACACGACAAGUAAUGAGGGAAUGUAAACAGGUGUGUGGAAAAACAAGACAAAACAAAUGGAAAAUGAAAGGUGGAUCGGCGAUGGCUAGAAGACCGGUGACGUCGACCGCCGAACGCCGCCCGAACAAGGUGAGGAACCGACUUCGGCGGAAGUCGUGACAAUGUAUAUACUGUACUUCUUAUUUUUCUGCCAAGAAGCUGGUACACGCUGAGCAUUUCAUCAUUCUCGAAGUUGACAAAAAAAAUGUAAAGGAUAACACAUGUUUUUAGUCAGAAUUUGUCACAGAAAACAACCUCUACCUAAUGUCAGAAUUUUGUCACAGACAACAAUCUUUGUGAAAACAACCUCAAACUUUUGUCAAAUUCUGUUAGUUAGCUACAGUAUUUCCUCUUUCGUGUAAUGGACAAAUCACACAUUGUUGUCUUUCUGAACAGGGAAAGCAGUCUAACAAUGUCAUCAACUGAAGCAUUCACUUUUGGAGUGCACAACUAACAAGGAAUUACAUGUUUUAGUGUGUUGUUUCCAGGUCUUCCAAUCAUGACUGUAAAUACACUGAACAAAAAUAUAUACGCAACAUCUAAAGUGUUGAUCCUACAGUAUGUUUCAUGAGCUGAAAUAAAAGAUCACAGAAAUGUUCCAUACGCACAAAAAGCUUAUUUCUCUCCCAGGCCCACCCAUGCCUGUACCCCUGCCCAGUCAUGUGAAAUCCAUAGAUUAGGGCCUAAUUUAUUUAUUUAAAUUGACUGAUUUCCCUUUAUGAACUGUAACUCAGUAAAAUCUUUGAAAUUGUUGCAUGUUGCAUUUAUAUUUUUGCUCAGCAUACAUAUGAGAACACAGAGAUCCGGACCUCUGUAAUUUUAUCUAAUUUGACAAAUAAAUUAAUAACGCAAAUGUAUAUUUUGUACACAAUAAAGAGAAUAAAUGAUGGGUCAACAUCUA